rnacentral:lncRNA from 1 species
UUGGGCCUUGAGAUGACAGUUGUCCCUGGUGGGAUGCUCCUUAAUCAGCAUAAGUAUAUUUCUGAUUUGCUGCAUCAGUUUGACUGUGUUAAUGUCUCCUCUGUUGUUUCUCCUUUGGACAUUAAUGUCAAACUUCAUGCUGAUUCUGUUGACAUUUUGUCCUCUCCUGACUAGUACAGGAGUCUAGUUGGUAAGAUGUUGUUUCUGACUCAUACUAGGCAUGACAUAUGCUUUGCAGUCCAACAUCUGAGUCAAUCCCUCAAAUGCCCCAGACUUCCCCAUAUGACUGCCGCCCUGCAUGUUCUGAGAUACCUUAAGGGCACUCCUUCCUUGGGUUUAUUUUAUUCUGCUCAUUGCUGCUCUGCAUGUUCUGAGAUACCUUAAGGGCACCCUUCUUUGGGCUUAUUUUACUCUGCCCAUGCUGACUUCUCUAUUACUGGCUAUUCUG